CAGCAUGGUCUUAGCUUGCUAAGGCCGAUGGCGACCGGCGCACGGGUGAGUAACACGUAUCCAACCUGCCGUCUACUCUUGGACAGCCUUCUGAAAGGAAGAUUAAUACAAGAUGGCAUCAUGAGUCCGCAUGUUCACAUGAUUAAAGGUAUUCCGGUAGACGAUGGGGAUGCGUUCCAUUAGAUAGUAGGCGGGGUAACGGCCCACCUAGUCUUCGAUGGAUAGGGGUUCUGAGAGGAAGGUCCCCCACAUUGGAACUGAGACACGGUCCAAACUCCUACGGGAGGCAGCAGUGAGGAAUAUUGGUCAAUGGGCGAGAGCCUGAACCAGCCAAGUAGCGUGAAGGAUGACUGCCCUAUGGGUUGUAAACUUCUUUUAUAAAGGAAUAAAGUCGGGUAUGGAUACCCGUUUGCAUGUACUUUAUGAAUAAGGAUCGGCUAACUCCGUGCCAGCAGCCGCGGUAAUACGGAGGAUCCGAGCGUUAUCCGGAUUUAUUGGGUUUAAAGGGAGCGUAGAUGGAUGUUUAAGUCAGUUGUGAAAGUUUGCGGCUCAACCGUAAAAUUGCAGUUGAUACUGGAUAUCUUGAGUGCAGUUGAGGCAGGCGGAAUUCGUGGUGUAGCGGUGAAAUGCUUAGAUAUCACGAAGAACUCCGAUUGCGAAGGCAGCCUGCUAAGCUGCAACUGACAUUGAGGCUCGA
rnacentral:rRNA from 1 species